rnacentral:rRNA from 1 species
GAUGAACGCUGGCGGCGUGCCUAACACAUGCAAGUCGAGCGAAGCGAUUUAACGGAAGUUUUCGGAUGGAAGUUAAAUUGACUGAGCGGCGGACGGGUGAGUAACGCGUGGGUAACCUGCCUCAUACAGGGGGAUAACAGUUAGAAAUGACUGCUAAUACCGCAUAAGCGCACAGCAUCGCAUGAUGCAGUGUGAAAAACUCCGGUGGUAUGAGAUGGACCCGCGUCUGAUUAGCUAGUUGGUGAGGUAACGGCUCACCAAGGCGACGAUCAGUAGCCGGUCUGAGAGGAUGAACGGCCACAUUGGGACUGAGAUACGGCCCAG